UACGGGGGGGGCAAGCGUUGUUCGGAAUUACUGGGCGUAAAGGGCGCGUAGGCGGCCUGCUAAGUCGAACGUGAAAUCCCUGGGCUCAACCCAGGAACUGCGUCCGAUACUGGUUGGCUUGAGUUUGGGAGAGGGAUGCGGAAUUCCAGGUGUAGCGGUGAAAUGCGUAGAUAUCUGGAGGAACACCGGUGGCGAAGGCGGCAUCCUGGACCAAUACUGACGCUGAGGAGCGAAAGCCAGGGGAGCAAACGGG
rnacentral:rRNA from 1 species